AUGCAAUGAUGUUCUGAAUUUCUUCACCUGAAACUGCCUUGAUGGUUAUUGAGCUUUUUAACCCUGAGCAUU
rnacentral:snoRNA from 1 species